AGCUCGGCAGGCUAAUCUGACUAACAAAAAUUUCAAGAUGAAACACGUUCGUCCCAAUUCACAAUCAUCGUGAGACUCUUAAGGAACACAUAUAAGACUCUCUUUGCCGAUCUGACUAUAAGAAAGCAGAGGAUGCGCUAUCCACUGCCUGUUCUACAAUACGUCGUAUAUCGACAUCGGAUAUCGAACAUAUGCGUAUUCGAUUGUCGGCUGUCACAUGGAAAGAAACAAUUGACCAUGAUUGGUUAAUUUUUUACGGCAUGACAUAUAACAAUGUCUCCUGACUGAUUGUAAACUAGGCCUAAACGAAUAUGUCGAAGCGUCAAACGAUGAGCAUCAAGCAUUCAUUUGUUGACGCCCUCAUAGCUGUGACUCAAGAAACGAGAAACUAAUAUUCAAUAUGUCAUCGUUUCUGACACAUUCCGAUCGACAUUUUUAUCGCUAUAUUUACUAGGUGUUGCUACGUUUAGCUACGUUUU